UACGGGGGGGGCAAGCGUUGUUCGGAAUUACUGGGCGUAAAGGGUUCGUAGGUGGCCAACUAAGUCAGACGUGAAAUCCCUCAGCUUAACUGGGGAACUGCGUCUGAGACUGGAUGGCUUGAGUGCAGGAGAGGAACGCGGAAUUCCAGGUGUAGCGGUGAAAUGCGUAGAUAUCUGGAGGAACACCGGUGGCGAAGGCGACUUUCUAUCUCGAAUCUGACGCUGAGGCGCGAAAGCUAGGGGAGCAAACGGG
rnacentral:rRNA from 1 species